rnacentral:rRNA from 1 species
UGGGGAAUAUUGCACAAUGGGGGGAACUCUGAUGCAGCGAUGCCGCGUGAACGAAGAAGGCUUUCGAGUCGUAAAGCUCUUUUAUAUGGGAAGAUAAUGACGGUACCAUAAGAAAAAGCCCCGGCAAACUACGUGCCAGCAGCCGCGGUAAUACGAAGGGGGCUAGCGUUGUCCGGAAUCACUGGGCGUAAAGGGUUCGCAGGCGGAUAUGCAAGUCAGGAGUAAAAGGCAGUAGCUUAACUACUGUAAGCAUUUGAAACUGCAUAUCUUGAGAAGAGUAGAGGUAAGUGGAAUUUUUAGUGUAGCGGUGAAAUGCGUAGAUAUUAGGAAGAAUACCGGUGGCGAAGGCGACUUACUGGGCUAAUACUGACGCUGAGGAACGAAAGCGUGGGUAGCAAACAGG